UACGUAGGUCCCGAGCGUUGUCCGGAUUUAUUGGGCGUAAAGCGAGCGCAGGUGGUUUAAUAAGUCUGAUGUAAAAGGCAGUGGCUCAACCAUUGUGUGCAUUGGAAACUGUUAGACUUGAGUGCAGUAGAGGAGAGUGGAAUUCCAUGUGUAGCGGUGAAAUGCGUAGAUAUAUGGAGGAACACCAUUGGCGAAGGCGGCUAUCUGGACUGUAACUGACACUGAGGCUCGAAAGCGUGGGUAGCAAACAGG
rnacentral:rRNA from 1 species